rnacentral:rRNA from 1 species
CAGUCGCCACGGUAAUACGUAGGGUGCGAGCGUCAAUCGGAAUUACUGGGCGUAAAGCGUGCGCAGGCGGUUCGUUAAGACAGAUGUGUAAUCCCCGGGCUUAACCUGGGAACUGCAUUUGUGACUGGCGAGCUAGAGUAUGGCAGAGGGGGGUAGAAUUCCACGUGUAGCAGUGAAAUGCGUAGAGAUGUGGAGGAAUACCGAUGGCGAAGGCAGCCCCCUGGGCCAAUACUGACGCUCAUGCACGAAAGCGUGGGGAGCAAACAGGAUUAGAUACCCCAGUAGUCCCUGUCUCUUAUAC